rnacentral:lncRNA from 10 species
GGAAGCCGAGGCAGGCGGAUCACCUGAGGUUGGGAAUUCGAGACCAGCCUGGCCAACAUGGUGAAACCCCAUCUCUACUAAAAAAUACAGAAAAAUUAGCCAGUCGUGGUGGCACAUGCCUGUAAUCUCAGCUGCUUGGGAGGCUGAGGCAGGAGAAUCACUUGAAGCCGAAAAACAGAGGUUGCAGUGAGCCCAGAUUGCCCCACUGCACUCUAACCCGGGCGACAAGAGUGAAACUCUGUCUCAAUUAAAAAAAAAAAAAAAAAGAAAUAAAAGAAAGAAAGCAAGAAAGCAUUAAUUCCCAUGCACUGGUCCUGGAGAAUCUAUAAUUCAGUCUUUUAUCACAGGUUCACAUUCCCUUAUAAAAAGAAAUACAGAAUCACAUAUACUGCAAUACUUCCAGAAAUAAAUCAUCCACUGAGUCUUAAAAGUAAAGAACUCUGUGUUCUUGCUCUGGUGUCUACAUAACCGGGAUCUUAUAAGUAA